ACCCAAUAGAUACCCGGGUAGUCCACCCCGUAAACGUUGGGAACUAGUUGUGGGGUCCUUUCCCACGGAUUCCGUGACGCAGCUAAACGCAUUAAAGUUCCCCGCCUGGGGAGUACGGCCGCAAGGCUAAAACUCAAAGGAAUUGACGGGGACCCGCACAAGCGGCGGAGCAUGCGGAUUAAUUCGAUGCAAACGCGAAGAACCUUACCAAGGCUUGACAUAUAGAGGAAACGGCCAGAGAUGGUCGCCCCGCAAGGUCUCUAUACAGGUGGUGCAUGGUUGUCGUCAGCUCGUGUCGUGAGAUGUUGGGUUAAGUCCCGCAACGAGCGCAACCCUCGUUCUCUGUUGCCAGCACGUUAUGGUGGGAACUCAGGGGAUACUGCCGGGGUCAACUCGGAGGAAGGUGGGGAUGACGUCAAAUCAUCAUGCCCCUUAUGUCUUGGGCUUCACGCAUGCUACAAUGGCCGGUACAAUGGGCUGCGAUACCGUGAGGUGGAGCGAAUCCCAAAAAGCCGGUCCCAGUUCGGAUCGUAGUCUGCAACUCGACUACGUGAA
rnacentral:rRNA from 1 species